UACGAAGGGGGCUAGCGUUGUUCGGAAUUACUGGGCGUAAAGCGCACGUAGGCGGAUAUUUAAGUCAGGGGUGAAAUCCCAGAGCUCAACUCUGGAACUGCCUUUGAUACUGGGUAUCUCGAGUAUGGAAGAGGUGAGUGGAAUUCCGAGUGUAGAGGUGAAAUUCGUAGAUAUUCGGAGGAACACCAGUGGCGAAGGCGGCUCACUGGUCCAUUACUGACGCUGAGGUGCGAAAGCUAGGGGAGCAAACGGG
rnacentral:rRNA from 1 species